rnacentral:rRNA from 1 species
UGGGGGAUAUUGCACAAUGGGCGAAAGCCUGAUGCAGCGACGCCGCGUGGGGGAUGAAGUCUUUCGGUUUGUAAACCUCUUUCGCUAUCGAACAAGGCCCGCUUAGGGUGGGUUGAGGGUAGGUGGAGAAGAAGCGCCGGCUAACUACGUGCCAGCAGCCGCGGUAAUACGUAGGGCGCGAGCGUUGUCCGGAAUUAUUGGGCGUAAAGGGCUUGUAGGCGGCUUGUUGCGCCUGCUGUGAAAACGCGGGGCUUAACUUCGCGCGUGCAGUGGGUACGGGCAGGCUUGAGUGUGGUAGGGGUGACUGGAAUUCCAGGUGUAGCGGUGGAAUGCGCAGAUAUCUGGAGGAACACCGAUGGCGAAGGCAGGUCACUGGGCCAUUACUGACGCUGAGGAGCGAAAGCAUGGGUAGCGAACAGG